rnacentral:lncRNA from 1 species
AGCAAGACGCACGAAAAGGCACACUUGGCUACGACAAACAUCUGAAGAAGUUUGCUCGCGUGCCCAGGACGGUGCCCAGCUUGUCGCUUUGCCUCUUUCGCCUCUCUCCCAGCCCCCCUCCAAAGAGCAGAGCACACGUCUUUUGCCGCGGCGUGGUCUGGUCAAAGAGUAAAUCCUUCGCGGCGGUGGACAUGCAAACCAAGGAUCAUAGCCGUUUGAAUUGAAAACUUCCUAGACAGACCUUUGGUGCUUUUCUUUUGCCGCGCAGCGGAUGCGGUACCGCCGCAAUUUUGCAGAGAACCCGCAACCCAGGCGUCUCCGACACUUCAGCAGAAGGUGUCGACCUCGCUGAGCGCACCGAGUCGCACAGCGAAACGUGCGUGGCCAAGAAGGCUCCCCGAUUUCCCGCAUUCUCCUCCGAGCUCCUGUCCCUUCUCCAGUGUCUCCGUAGAGGAGGUCUGGAGUAGCCGCGUGCGAGGACCGGACGCCUGCCGAAGGCCAUUCACUCGUGUGUCUCUCUCUCGCGUUCACUCCGUCAGUGAUUGGUUCCUCGAGGACCGGAUAUAUAGCAGCGGAGAGCGUCAGUCAAACGCGCGAGACUCAGACUUCCGGGAACCCCCCGUGGAAGAAGCAUCUUCACAGCCCGAGAGCUCGGAACGUGACACAGAGCUCUUCUUGUAGUCGUGACGAAAGCGCCAUGCUUUCUUGAGGCAGAUUGAACGGCCCUCUGCUGCGCGCGGAUGUCGGUGUAAACAGACCAGAUACUUGAGAAAGGUGAAAGAACCUGUAUUUACACGGAAUAGGUGCUACAACGACACAGGGGGUACGAAAUCGAAACAAGAGGCUGGACUGUGUAAAUUUCAUGGUGUUAUGGUUCUAUCGCAAACCAGUGAGAUUACGAAGGUAGCGUUUUUGGCUCGUGAGUCUGUCUCUCAAUAACUAGCUGAGACCAUGAUAUUCGUACAGCUUGCAUACAAAUGUUGGCCAACAUGACUCCAGUUAUG